UACGAAGGACCCGAGCGUUAUCCGGAUUUAUUGGGUUUAAAGGGUGCGUAGGCGGACUUAUAAGUCAGUGGUGAAAGCCCCAAGCUUAACUUGGGAACUGCCAUUGAAACUGUUUGUCUUGAGUACAUUUGAGGCGGGCGGAAUGUGUCAUGUAGAGGUGAAAUUCUUAGAUAUGACACAGAACACCAAUUGCGAAGGCAGCUCGCUAAACUGUAACUGACGCUGAUGCACGAAAGCGUGGGUAGCAAACAGG
rnacentral:rRNA from 1 species